rnacentral:rRNA from 1 species
GAUGAACGCUGGCGGCGUGCCUAAUACAUGCAAGUCGAGCGAACAGACGAUGAGCUUGCUCCUCUGACGUUAGCGGCGGACGGGUGAGUAACACGUGGAUAACCUACCUAUAUGACUGGGAUAACUUCGGGAAACCGGAGCUAAUACCGGAUAAUAUAUUGAACCGCAUGGUUCAAUAGUGAAAGACGGUUUUGCUGUCUCUUAUAGAUGGAUCCGCGCCGCAUUAGCUAGUUGGUAAGGUAACGGCUUACCAAGGCAACGAUGCGUAGCCGACCUGAGAGGGUGAUCGGCCACACUGGAACUGAGACACGGUCCAGACUCCUACGGGAGGCAGCAGUAGGGAAUCUUCCGCAAUGGGCGAAAGCCUGACGGAGCAACGCCGCGUGAGUGAUGAAGGUCUUCGGAUCGUAAAACUCUGUUAUUAGGGAAGAACAAAUGUGUAAGUAACUAUGCACGUCUUGACGGUACCUAAUCAGAAAGCCACGGCUAACUACGUG